CUAACACCUUCCUCCCGCGCCCCUCCGCCCUCCCCUGCAACGCCUCGCUCCCUCCCACGACCCAAAGCCGCGCCACGGUCGCCCCCGCCCUGCCCCUCUCCGCCCCGCGCGAACGCCGCGUCGCCGGCACCGCCACGCCCGCCCCAACACGGCCGCUGCAGCCACGCCCUUCGCCCUCACCGUCGGCCCCACCCUCGACGAAAGCUAGUGUUCACGAGCCUCUGCGCAGCCACGACGAUGGGGUCCUCGGUCCUCCCAUCUGAACCUCCGCUCAGCAGCAGCCCCACAACCAAGCCAAAGGGAACUGCGGCAACGGCAUCCCGUCCACCUGCACCUGCGUCCACUGCCUCGGCAGCACCAGCCGCCACCUCCCACGCUGGACUGAAGGUUGACAACGAUAGCUCACACUCAGGUGUUUGACGAGGUAAUUAAGUUGAUAUUAGUCAUCGCUCCAUCGAGCUAAUCCACCGUCACUCCAUGAGGGUAUGUUGCUCUUCAUUGCUGUGGAGCAAUAUAUGUUUGAGGGAGAUGAGGAUAGGUGAGACGUGUUUUCUGUGAUAUUACCUCAUAUCCUUGACAUGUUGAACGCUACCUAAGACAAUUAUCCAAGUGUAUUUAACUAAAUUUCUUUAAAUGUCUUACACUUUUCAUGCUUCUGUAUAGAUGGAAUAAUUUAAGAUGCAUUCUAUACAAUUUGUUCUAAGAUCCUGUCCAAACAUGUGACAAAAAAAAUCCUGCUAGAGCUAUCAUUUUCGUAACCUAUGACAAAAAAAUAUGGCCUGACAUAUUAUCUCUGAAAUAUCAGAUUUGACUUGGAAAAAGUAAACAUGCAAAGUAUGUGUUACCUUACCUUAAGAUAAACUUGGUAGACAAAAUCAUCGUAGCUUGAACUUACAUUCUCUGUCAUGUUAAAAACUACGUAUUUAUAAGGGAGUGCAUAAGGAAGUUCCUUUACUGCCUCUUCAAAUAUUUCAAUUGCAAGGGUAUGUUGUUUGAUUAAAUGGCUAAAGGCAUCAACUCUCAUUUCUUUUACUCACUUUUCUUGGAGUCCAAUUUUCCAUCAGAGUCUUCGGCUAACGGUCGUCUAUAUUAUAUUUGCCACAAUAGAUGCUCUGUAGUAUAAACAAUGUCAAUUUCUUUCUAAACACUAAUCAAGCAAACAAUAGCUAUAUCUAUGAUUAAAGUGGGCAACUAGAUAUCAUCCAUCACCCAUUGAUAUCUAUGACUUCUGAUAUGAUGUCUAAUGAAGUGUGGCUUCUCUAUGGUGCUUAUCUGUAUUAGAUAGUAGUUAAUUCAAUCCAUCUUCAUAUACUGUUUUUUGAUCUGAAAAUGUAAGGCUAUUAGAUUUCUUGUAAAUUACAUCCACGUGGGAAAGUUAUCCUAUAGCUAAUCUAUUUUUUUUACAAGAUCCAACCUUCUAUACCAAGCUACCAGCUCACCUGCAAGCAUAUUAUUUUGUACUGAAAAUUUUAACUUUUUCAACUAUGCUCAUGUGGCCUGCUUGUGUGCGCAUAAGGGGCUUAUAGGUAGAAAUGCAAAUGCCAUUAUGUGCAAGACAUUUGUGUUCAGACUAUGGGGUCAAGUACUCAAGUUGUAUCUAGAUUUCUUCUUGUAUGUAUACGAUUGUUAUCACUUAUUGCUUAAUAUCUUCUGAUAUAACUAUUUUGUAGUUUCACUCUUUGAGGCCUAUUGACACUUUUAUACUGUGUUAAUUAUUCAUGUAUACAGAAAUCUUGGAUUCAACAAUUUCAUUUUAUUGCCCUCUAUGGUUAUUUUCUUUUGUUUUAUUUUCAGGGUCUUGACCUUGCUGAAAUCAUAGUAGAAUCAGAUAAACGUGGGAUAACAUUUGACAAGUUACUAACCGUCCUUAUGAUGUACAAGGAGGCUGGACUCUUUGACCCUAUUUCCAGCUCUGUUGAAGUUACCGAAUUCACAAUAAAAGAUGCUUACACCCCCAACUUUUUUAGGACAACUCCACCGACUUCCGGAGUGGUGCAACAAGGAUGACGAUGUGAAGCUCUCCUUUUGCCAAAUCAAGGGCAUGUACUGAAUGGAGCUGCCUUAACCCUAUGCCCACAUGAACGAAAAAUGUCCGUCCCUGCCUCCAGAUUACAAUAGGACUAAAGUUUGCUAGUGUUAACCAGAUAUGCGGUGUGCUUUUUAUCCACGCUGCCUUGUAGCUAUUGCUUCAGCUGUACAUAAUACUACUAUGAUAUAUUAGUACUGUGGGUAUGUACUGCUUGUCUUUGAGAUGCACGUAUGGAAUGUAUAGGUAACUUAUGUGAGACUUGCUCGAAUAAGGAAGAUCAUAAUCACACAAAUGUACAGUAUGCCUAAUCUUUUCACCCGCGUUUACUUGUGUAACAGAAGAAAAAAAGGUAAACUGUAUGUGCACCUUUGAA